UACGAAGGGGGCUAGCGUUGCUCGGAAUCACUGGGCGUAAAGCGCACGUAGGCAGAUUGCUAAGUCAGGGGUGAAAUCCUGGAGCUCAACUCCAGAACUGCCUUUGAUACUGGCGACCUUGAGUCCGGGAGAGGUGAGUGGAACUGCGAGUGUAGAGGUGAAAUUCGUAGAUAUUCGCAAGAACACCAGUGGCGAAGGCGGCUCACUGGCCCGGUACUGACGCUGAGGUGCGAAAGCGUGGGGAGCAAACAGG
rnacentral:rRNA from 1 species